CGUUCAGGGGUAAACCUGAGAAANCCCAAAAGAUCGAAUGGGGAGAUUCAUCGUCAGCUCAUUUUAUAUAUAUACUAGAUUAUGAUAUGGGUUACUAAUACUUGUGUAGUAGUAUUGCCUGUACAUUCUUGUAUAUUUUUAUUGUAAGAUGUUGUCGGCGUGCACUUCUCCCCUAGUAGGACGUCGCGACCCGUUGAGUUGUUUUUUAUAGUUGGUCUACGGCCCAAGUGAGAGCUUUUAGUGAAUUUUCCAAAUUCAUUGAAAAUCCUUGGUGUUUCCUGACUGGCACUCAUCGGUAUUCGUAUGGUAUUGAGCCGCACAUAAUAUAUGCGUCCAUAUCUGUCGCAAGCGAGAUUAGUAAUUAUAAUUACUGAUAGUACGGACCCUAGUGCCGUCGUUGGUGCUAAUCAGCUGUUGGUUGUACAGAAUUCUAGGACUGGCUCGUUGAAAUACCGGUCAGCGAUGCUACUGCUUUGGGUACUUUCAGGACCCGUCUUGAAACACGGACCAAGGAGUCUAACAUGUACGCGAGUCAUUGGGAUUUUUAUAAAUUAAACCUAAAGGCGUAAUGAAAGUAAAGGUCGUCCUUGUGUCGACUAAGGGAGGAUGAGCUGUGUUUAUAUUAUUAUUAUAUUUUAUACAGCUUCGCACUCUCGGGGCGUCUCAUUCUCAUUGCGAGAAGANGCGCACCUAGAGCGUACACGUUGG
rnacentral:rRNA from 1 species